rnacentral:rRNA from 1 species
GACGAACGCUGGCGGCGUGCUUAACACAUGCAAGUCGAGCGGAGCGGCGAACGGGCGAGUAACGCGCGAGUAACUGCCCCCCUUUCUGGGAUAAAAGUUGGAAACGGCUGCUAACACCGGAUUGUGGGGGAUGACUCGCGUCCUAUCAGCUUGUUGGUGGGGUAGUGGCCUACAAAGGCGACGACGGGUAGCCGGCCUGAGAGGGCGACCGGCCACAUUGGGCUGGAAGACGGGCCAAACUCCUACGGGAGGCAGCAGUGGGGAAUAUUGCACAAUGGGGGAAACCAUGAUGCAGCAAGGCCGCGUGCGGGAUGACGGCCUUCGGGUUGUAAUCCGCUUUCAGCCAUGACGCGGUAGUGGCAGAAGAAGCACCGGCUAACUACGUGCCAGCAGCCGCGGUAAUUC